UGGCUCAGGAUGAACGCUAGCGGCGCGCUUAAUGCAUGCAAGUCGAGCGAUGAGGCACCUUCGGGUGUACAUCAGCGGCAGACGGGUGAGUAACACGUGGGUGACCUACCCUAAGGACGGGGAUAACCCUCGGAAACGGGGGCUAAUACCGGAUAGCUACAGCGUACGGGGGUAUGUUGUAGAAAGCUACGGCGCUUUAGGAGGGGCCUGCGGCCCAUCAGCUAGUUGGUAGGGUAACGGCCUACCAAGGCAAAGACGGGUAGGGGGUGUGAGAGCACGGCCCCCCACAAUGGGACUGGAACACGGCCCAUACUCCUACGGGAGGCAGCAGCAGGGAAUAUUGCGCAAUGGGCGAAAGCCUGACGCAGCGACGCCGCGUGAGUGAAGACGGCUUUCGAGUUGUAAAACUCUUUUCUGGGGGAAGAGGAAGGACGGUACCCGAGGAAUAAGCGUCGGCUAACUACGUGCCAGCAGCCGCGGUAAGACGUAGGACGCGAGCGUUAUCCGGAUUUACUGGGCGUAAAGCGCCUGUAGGCGGCUUUGUAAGUUGGGCGUGAAAGCCCCGUGCUUAACGCGGGGAGGCCGUUCAAUACUGCGGAGCUAGAGUACGGCAGAGGGGAGUGGAAUUCCUGGAGUAGCGGUAAAAUGCGCAGAUAUCAGGAGGAACACCGGUGGCGAAGGCGGCUCCCUGGGUCGAGACUGACGCUCAGAGGCGAAAGCUAGGGGAGCGAACAGGAUUAGAGACCCUGGUAGUCCUAGCCCUAAACGAUGGAUGCUAGGUGUGGGGACGAGGAGUUUCCGUGCCGGAGCAAACGCGAUAAGCAUCCCGCCUGGGGACUACGGCCGCAAAGGUUAAAACUCAAACGAAUUGACCGGGGGCCCGCACAAGCAGCGGAGCGUGUGGUUUAAUUCGAUGCUACACGAAGAACCUUACCUGG
rnacentral:rRNA from 1 species